AUCCAUAUAGUUAAGUGGUAUAAUACCGAACUUACAAUCGUAAGUGAGGAGUCGUGGGUUGGAAUCCCGCUAUGGGUA